UACAGAGGAUGCAAGCGUUAUCCGGAAUGAUUGGGCGUAAAGCGUCUGUAGGUGGCUUUUUAAGUCCGCCGUCAAAUCCCAGGGCUCAACUCUGGACAGGCGGUGGAAACUACCAAGCUGGAGUACGGUAGGGGCAGAGGGAAUUUCCGGUGGAGCGGUGAAAUGCGUAGAGAUCGGAAAGAACACCAACGGCGAAGGCAGCAUCCUGGGAAGUUCCUGACGCUCGGGUGCGAAAGCCAGGGGAGCGAACGGG
rnacentral:rRNA from 1 species